CCUACGGGGGGCUGCAGUGGGGAAUAUUGGACAAUGGGCGAAAGCCUGAUCCAGCCAUGCCGCGUGUGUGAAGAAGGCCUUCGGGUUGUAAAGCACUUUCAGUGGGGAAGAAAGCCUUGGGGCUAAUACCCUCGAGGAAGGACAUCACCCACAGAAGAAGCACCGGCUAACUCCGUGCCAGCAGCCGCGGUAAUACGGAGGGUGCGAGCGUUAAUCGGAAUUACUGGGCGUAAAGCGCGCGUAGGCGGUCUGAUAAGCCGGUUGUGAAAGCCCCGGGCUCAACCUGGGAACGGCAUCCGGAACUGACAGGCUAGAGUGCAGGAGAGGAAGGUAGAAUUCCCGGUGUAGCGGUGAAAUGCGUAGAGAUCGGGAGGAAUACCAGUGGCGAAGGCGGCCUUCUGGACUGACACUGACGCUGAGGUGCGAAAGCGUGGGUAGCAAACAGGAUUAGAUACCCGGGUAGUC
rnacentral:rRNA from 1 species